CCUACGGGUGUCUGUAGUGAGGAAUAUUGGUCAAUGGGCGCGAGCCUGAACCAGCCAAGUAGCGUGAAGGAUGACUGCCCUACGGGUUGUAAACUUCUUUUAUAAAGGAAUAAAGUGAGGAACGUGUGCCUUUUUGUAUGUACUUUAUGAAUAAGGAUCGGCGAACUCCGUGCCAGCAGCCGCGGUAAUACGGAGGACCCGAGCGUUAUCCGGAUUUAUUGGGUUUAAAGGGUGCGUAGGCGGAAUAUCAGGUCAGCGGUAAAAAUUCGGGGCUCAACCGUAAAAUUGCAAUUGAUACUGGCAGUCUUGAGUACAGUUGAGGUAGGCGGAAUUCGUGGUGUAGCGGUGAAAUGCUUAGAUAUCACGAAGAACCCCGAUUGCGAAGGCAGCUUACUAAACUGUGACUGACAUUGAUGCUCGAAAGUGUGGGUAUCAAACAGGAUUAGAUACCCCUGUAGUC
rnacentral:rRNA from 1 species